rnacentral:rRNA from 1 species
UGGGGAAUCUUCCGCAAUGGGCGAAAGCCUGACGGAGCAAUGCCGCGUGAGUGAAGAAGGUCUUCGGACCGUAAAGCUCUGUUGUUCAUGACGAACGUGCAGUUGGUGAAUAAUCGAUUGUAAUGACGGUAGUGAACGAGGAAGCCACGGCUAACUACGUGCCAGCAGCCGCGGUAAUACGUAGGUGGCGAGCGUUGUCCGGAAUUAUUGGGCGUAAAGAGCAUGUAGGCGGUUUUUUAAGUCUGGAGUGAAAAUGCGGGGCUCAACCCCGUAUGGCUUUGGAUACUGGAAGACUUGAGUGCAGGAGAGGAAAGGGGAAUUCCCAGUGUAGCGGUGAAAUGCGUAGAUAUUGGGAGGAACACCAGUGGCGAAGGCGCCUUUCUGGACUGUGUCUGACGCUGAGAUGCGAAAGCCAGGGUAGCGAACGGG